rfam:Hyaloperonospora arabidopsidis Emoy2 Contig28.0, whole genome shotgun sequence.
UGUCGAUGAUGUAUCAAAAUAUUUGCUACUCUUGAUAUACUUUCGAGUAUUGUGACGACAUAUUAUUAUCACCAAGAUCACUGAGACG